rnacentral:rRNA from 1 species
AGGGCACCACCAGGAGUGGAGCCUGCGGCUUAAUUUGACUCAACACGGGAAAACUCACCCGGCCCGUACACCGGAAGGAUUGACAGAUUGAUAGCUCUUUCUUGAUUCGGUGGAUGGUGGUGCAUGGCCGUUCUUAGUUGGUGGAGCGAUCUGUCUGGUUAAUUCCGAUAACGAACGAGACUCUAGCCUAUUAAAUAGACGUCGGGUUCUCUGCACUCGACGGUCUUCUUAGAGGGACAAGGUGCUUUUAGCACCGCGAAACAGAGCAAUAACAGGUCUGUGAUGCCCUUAGAUGUCCGGGGCCGCACGCGCGCUACACUGAAGGAAGCAGCGUGUAACAACCUUGUUCUAACGAACUGGGUAACCCGUGGAACUUCCUUCAUGAUUGGGAUAGGGGUUUGCAAUUGUGCCCCUUGAACGAGGAAUUCCCAGUAAACACUAGUCAUCAGCUAGUGCUGAUUACGUCCCUGCCCUUUGUACACACCGCCCGUCGCUACUACCGAUUGAAUGGUUUAGUGA